rnacentral:rRNA from 1 species
UACAGAGGGUGCAAGCGUUAAUCGGAAUUACUGGGCGUAAAGCGUGCGUAGGCGGUUGCGUAAGUCAGAUGUGAAAUCCCCGGGCUCAACCUGGGAACUGCAUUUGUGACUGCAUGGCUGGAGUGCGGCAGAGGGGGAUGGAAUUCCGCGUGUAGCAGUGAAAUGCGUAGAUAUGCGGAGGAACACCGAUGGCGAAGGCAAUCCCCUGGGCCUGCACUGACGCUCAUGCACGAAAGCGUGGGGAGCAAACAGG